rnacentral:Y_RNA from 1 species
AGCUGGUCCUAGUGUAGUGGUGUUUACAACUGAUCACAACCAGUUACAGAUUCCUUUGUUCCUUCUCCACUCUCGCUGCUUCACUUGAGCAGCCUUAA